CCGGGUGCACAGAUAAGAGAUCCCAAAGAAGGCUGCUUGGGUUGCAAGUGAGUUGCCACAUCACAUUUUCUUCACAACCUCUCCCAGCACUCAGAGAAGUUUCUGCCACCCAAAGACCACACUAACCUAUGAUCAACUGACUUACGAGGAAAGAUGGAAAGACCCAAACAUGGACGCUGGCAAGUGCUGAUUCUGGUGGGGAGAGAGCAGGACCGCUCAUUCUAAGUGGAAUGUGCUCUACCAAAGACCCUUAUGGUCAGACUUUUCCCCUCCCAGCCCAAGUAAGCUGCGACAGCAGGUGGCUGUCUUCCUCCUCCCUGGACAUGCUACAGCUUGAAUCGGCGACUUUGAUCAUAAGAAAAACAUCCACGCAAAGCCCUUGAAGUAGCAGCAACGCUGUGUUAGCCCCAACCAGCCAGUCUGCGGUGCACAAUGCAGCCCCAGACACGACAGCCACUGAGACAAGCCCUGAAGUGGAAAUACCAUGAUACCAGCAUCAGACCUGUUGUCGCUGCGUUUCCAGGCCUGUGGGGAGUGAUGGAAUCUCACGAGAGAACCUCUCAUAAGAGUUCCCAGCCAGCCUUGCAGAUCCAAGUGGGGCAGAUAUUUUUGGAGAAGCAGUUGAACUUCUGGACGCUCACCCGAAUUGGACAAACUAAACCUUGCAGGUUCUCCUGCCGUGAGUGAAAGCCCCGGGUCGGAGCUAUCUCCAUCCACCUCACUGGAAUGCAGUGAUGUCCCACUGGUACAAAGAAAGGACCAUACUGGCGGGCGCAGAAUGCAUAGUCCUCCUGCAGUGCCUGAUACCCAAUACAAUGACAGGGCCCAAACAGUGGCUAAUGAUUUAGUGGAAGAGUAAAAACCUUCCCUAGCACCCAGUUGCUUUGUGCUUUACAUGGGUGGGUGGGGGUGAGCUUCUUGACCUCUCAGGGUCCUACUAUGAUGUUAGUGCAUGAAAGCCAAGCUACCGUGUUUAUUUUUAGCUAGUUGCCUUCACAAAGUCCUGGCUGAUGAGAUUUUACAGCACAGGUUGGCUCCUCCAGCCCAGCCACAAUUGCUGAGGAAUCAAUCAUUACCAUCAGGUAACUGUUAGAUGGUUAACAGCCUGAACUGAAGCCAAACUGGUUGUUAAUUGCGAUAACAACUGAUUUCAAGGGGUUGUUUCCCUGCAACCAACACGCUCAGCAAUUUACUUUGACUUGAUAUUAGCAGGCAAUAAGGAAAAUCAAGAGAAGUUCACAAGCCAUUAGCAAAGGGCCAUCUCUCCCGGCUGGACAUCAGUUUCUCAUUCUGCAGAAUGUGGACUGCAGCCAGCUGGCUGGGCCACAUAGCACACCAGUGAAUCUGGAUCUCUAGGUCACACCUUAUGUAUUGCACAGAACCAUCCACGACCAGGCAGUAGAGAUGGUCUUAUCCAGCUAACGGGGUCAGCCAGACUCCUUUGGCCAAAUAUCGCCUUGUGUAAUUCCACAGAGCUCACCAGGGACGAAUGUGGCCCAGUGCGUGAACACAUCCUGCAAGUCACCACAGCCAAGACUCAAGGGUCCCAUAGGCAGAGGUCCUGCCAGAGGAGCCAAAGAGGGUCUUUCCCCUCACCAAGCUGGAGAAUCUGUGCUGAGUUGCUCUUUGGCAGACCUUGCUCUUUGCAGAACUCCCGGAUGGCCUCAGAGUUGCAGUGAUCUGUGGCUACCACAGAUCUCUUGGGCCCUGGUGGGUAUCACUCCUGAUCAGUCCAGCACAUGCCGAAGGCACUCACAAAACAACCCUCCCGCUUCCCAGGGACGGAGACGAUUCCAUGGCUGUAAAGCCUUUGAGUUUUGUUUCUAAGGAGCUGUCUAAUUGCAGCUCUGCACUGGUUCUGUUAACCCGCAGCAAAACCUUUCUGGGCACACGCUGCUUUCAGCUGCAGAGCAGCGUCGGCCUGCUCUGCAUACAAAACCGCCCCACUUUAACCAACGGGGUGAUUUUCAACUGGUGCGACUUCAUGCAUGGACUCUCGUCAGUUCCUGGAAACCUGGCUGAUAUCAGGUUAGCACAUGCACCUAGCACACGGCGAUAGCUGCCAUCCCAUAGUAUCUGAGCAACUGAAGCUACUCCCAUUUUACAGACGGGGAACUAAGACACAAAGAGACUAAAUGAUUUGCCCCAGGUCACACAGGGAAGCCGUGGUGUUGUGCUGAGUUGAGUCCCAUGAUAACACCCUAACCACUGGACCAUCCUUCCUUCUCCACCUGUCACGAGCUGAUCCAAUCUGAGUCACCAGGCGUGUGUCAAUCCGGGGGUGCAACAGUUUAACUAGAUCAGCUUUUAAAGAGGCUUGGAAAGAUUCCGUUUUUAUGCAUGAAUGUUAUUAAACGUUGAUUUCACUCUCUCACCCACCGACCAAAAAUAUUUCCAGUGCUAAUCAUCCAAACGUACAGGGAGGCACAGUAAGAACAAUGCUGCUUCGGGAGGCAUUGGAACUUGAUUUAAGGCUAGUCACGUUGUACGUUUUGCCACGUGAUGUUGACAGUUUGUGGUUGAACGGUUAUGAAGCUUUCGCUUUUUGGAUCUCAGUGGCUACUGUCGUUAAUUAUCAUCGCCCCCCCCCCCAAUCGCCUGGCACCCCUUCUCAUGUCCCGCCACAGUGGAAAGUUACAUACAGAGCCAUGGUUUUAAAAUGUUCGAAAAUAAACCUCAAUAUUAUCCACCAAAAUUAUUUAAAAAUAAAAUCAAACUCUGCCAAGCCUAGUUUUAAAUUAAACCAGCACAACUUGUGUGGGUAGGACCAGGCCUUCUUCAACCGCUUCCUAACCAGCUUGAGUUAAAGCAAUGCUGCCUGGCUGGAGUGGAAAACAGCGCUCCCGCACAGCCUGUUGUACCAGUUUAACUAAAUCAAUGUAAAAGCCCCCUUCAGUUACGUCAGCUCAGCCCGCGUGUUGACAAGCCUUAAAACUCAGGGUCAUGGGGGCUCCCAGCUGAAUUGGUUAUAGGUUUUAAUUAGAAAAAAGCCUUCUCAUGACAAAGAUUUAGGCUGCACCCUGAAAAGCGGAUGUAGAAAUGGCAGGAUGGCAUCUCGGCUUGCCGUCUCUCGGGGUCUUUCGGCUCAAACAUGUUUUACAGGAAAAAUAUGUGGUGUUUCCUAACUGCCACCCCUGGACCCUGAGUUAUGAUCCUUGUGAGUGCUGCUACUGAAUGGCUAUGAAAUGUACAUCCAGCUAGUCUGUGCUACCACACCCUAUCAGCCUGCUUUCUAUCCUUCAGCCACUUCUUCCGGCUGGUCUUUUACAAAGCAAGCUCUUCUGGGAGAGAGGGGCAAAAAUCAUAGCGAUGGUAUCAUUCCAUUACUAGCUGGAAAUGGUAGAAUUGUCAAUAAUAAAGCAGAAAAGUCAGACGUGUUCAAUAAACAUUUCUGUUCUAUGUUUGGCAAAAAGUCCGAUGAUGUAGGCAUGGUUUAUGACGACGGUGAAACUCUUUUAAUUUCAACAGUAACUCAGGAGGAUGUUAAACAUCAGCUACUGAGGUCAGACUUUUUAAAUCAGCAAGUCCAGAAAAUUUGCAUCCAAGAGUUUUAAAAGACCCGGCCAAGGAGCUCUCUGGACCAAUAAUUUUGAUUUUUCAUGAAGUCUUGAAACACUGAGGAAGUUCCAGAGGACUGGAAGAAACCAAAUGUUGUGCCAACAUUUAAGAAGAGUAAACGGAAUGACCUGGGUAAUUAUUGACCUGUCAGCCUGACUUCGAUCCUAGGCAAAAUAAUGGA